rnacentral:rRNA from 1 species
UGAGAGUUAAAGAGUACGUGAAACCGUUUAGGGGUAAACCUGAGAAACCCGAAAGGUCGAAGGGAGAAAUUCAUUCGCGUUUCGACGUAGGCGUGGAACGGGGUCUCGAGCGACGGAACACGUUUUUCCGAAACGUGUUUCGCGCCCUUCGUUCUUCGAUCCGACGACGAACGCGUGCACUUUUCUCCUGGUAGGACGUCGCGAUCCGUCGGGUGUCGGUCUACGACUUGCGGUGGAGACCGUCCGUCGUCUCGUUACGUACGAACGGACCCGCUCGUUUUCCGACCGACUCGCUCGACGGUAUACCCUAAGGUCGGAGGUCGCUUCUUUUUCAAGAGCGUUCGACUCGUCGCAAGCGCGCCACGUGCGUCGACGCGCGGACCCGGUGCCGCGUUCGACCUCUGGUGACUGUUGGCGACGAUGUUCUCGAACAGACCUUUUUUUCUGUUUUUUUUUGUUUUCCUUUCGGGGAACGACGAAAAAACGAGAGAGAAAGAGAGACCGAUCGGCGACGCUAUAGCUUUGGGUAAUUUCAGGACCCGUCUUGAAACACGGACCAAGGAGUCUAGCAUGUACGCGAGUCAUUGGGAAUCUCUAAACCUAAAGGCGUAAUGAAAGUAAAGGUCUUCCUUUAGCGAAGACCGAGGGAAGACGGACGUUCCGUGUGUUUGUUUUGCGACGAC